UACGUAGGGUGCAAGCGUUGUCCGGAAUUAUUGGGCGUAAAGAGCUCGUAGGCGGUGUGUCGCGUCGGCCGUGAAAACCUGGGGGCUCAACUCUGGGCGUGCGGUCGAUACGGGCAUCACUUGAGUUCGGCAGGGGAGACUGGAAUUCCUGGUGUAGCGGUGAAAUGCGCAGAUAUCAGGAGGAACACCGGUGGCGAAGGCGGGUCUCUGGGCCGAUACUGACGCUGAGGAGCGAAAGCAUGGGUAGCGAACAGG
rnacentral:rRNA from 1 species